rnacentral:rRNA from 1 species
CCUACGGGACGCAGCAGUAGGGAAUCUUCCACAAUGGGCGAAAGCCUGAUGGAGCAACGCCGCGUGGGUGAAGAAGGUCUUCGGAUCGUAAAACCCUGUUGUUAGAGAAGAAAGUGCGUGAGAGCAACUGUUCACGUUUCGACGGUAUCAAACAAGAAAGCCACGGCUAACUACGGGCCAGCAGCCGCGGUAAUACGUAGGUGGCAAGCGUUAUCCGGAUUUAUUGGGCGUAAAGGGAGCGCAGGCGGUCUGUUAAGUCUGAUGUGAAAGCCUUCGGCUUAACCGGAGUAGUGCAUUGGAUACUGGGAGACUUGAGUGCAGGUGAGGUGAGUGGAACGCAAUGUGUAGCGGUGAAAUGCGUAGAGAUAUGGCAGAACACCAGUGGCGAAAGCGGCUCUCUGGUCUGUAACUGACGCUGAGGUUCGAAAGCGUGGGUAGCAAACAGGAUUAGAUACCCGUGUAGUC